UCCUGUAUCGAAAGUGAUCGUGGGGUGUGUGUCUCCAGGUCAUUGAUAGUACAGGGACAUUAAGCCGAGAGCUUUUCCCGUGUUUGAAGGAUUUCCUGUUCCUCUCGAACCCUGAUGCUCUCAGACA